rnacentral:rRNA from 1 species
UACGGAGGGGGCAAGCGUUGUUCGGAAUUACUGGGCGUAAAGGGCGCGCAGGCGGCUGCUCAAGUCAGGCGUGAAAGGCCUGGGCUCAACCCGGGAAUUGCGCUUGAGACUGGGCUGGCUUGAGUGCGGGAGAGGAUGGUGGAAUUCCCAGUGUAGAGGUGAAAUUCGUAGAUAUUAGGAAGAACACCGGUGGCGAAGGCGGCCCACUGGAUCGGUACUGACGCUGAGGCGCGAAAGCUAGGGGAGCAAACGGG